rnacentral:rRNA from 1 species
GUGCCAGCAGCCGCGGUAAUACGAAGGGGGCUAGCGUUGCUCGGAAUCACUGGGCGUAAAGGGCGCGUAGGCGGGCUCUUAAGUCAGGGGUGAAAGCCCAAGGCUCAACCUUGGAAUUGCCUUUGAUACUGAGGGCCUUGAGACCGGAAGAGGUCGGCGGAACUGCGAGUGUAGAGGUGAAAUUCGUAGAUAUUCGCAAGAACACCAGUGGCGAAGGCGGCCGACUGGUCCGGUUCUGACGCUGAGGCGCGAAAGCGUGGGGAGCAAACAGGAUUAGAAACCCCAGUAGUCC